AUUUUGACAUGUGGACACUUUAUGUACAUCUCUGUAUAUCUCUCCCACGCUUCAUGAAACUCUUCAUUGGGCUUCUGUGUGAAUGUCAAAAUCUCCCUCUUGUAAUU
rfam:Prunus persica cultivar Lovell chromosome G4, whole genome shotgun sequence.